rnacentral:tRNA from 1 species
GUUUUUAUAGUUUAAAAUAAAACAUUAGUUUUGUAAACUAAAAAUUAAAAAUAUUAUAAAAACU